AUGCACGCCCGUGCAUCCCGCUUCCUCCGCAUCGUCCGCGCCCGCCCGACAAUCACUCGCUAGAUGAUGCCAGCC
rnacentral:sRNA from 1 species